rnacentral:rRNA from 1 species
CGACGAGUCGUCUUUUAGAUGACGAAGUGGUUGAUGCCAUGCUUCCAAGAAAAGCUUCUAAGCUUCAGGUAACCAGGAACCGUACCCCAAACCGACACAGGUGGUCGGGUAGAGAAUACCAAGGCGCUUGAGAGAACUCGGGUGAAGGAACUAGGCAAAAUGGCACCGUAACUUCGGGAGAAGGUGCGCCGGCUAGGGUGAAGGAUUUACUCCGUAAGCUCUGGCUGGUCGAAGAUACCAGGCCGCUGCGACUGUUUAUUAAAAACACAGCACUCUGCAAACACGAAAGUGGACGUAUAGGGUGUGACGCCUCCCCGGUGCCGGAAGGUUAAUUGAUGGGGUUAGCGCAAGCGAAGCUCUUGAUCGAAGCCCCGGUAAACGGCGGCCGUAACGAUAACGGUCCUAAGGUAGCGAAAUUCCUUGUCGGGUAAGUUCCGACCUGCACGAAUGGCGUAACGAUGGCGGCGCUGUCUCCACCCGAGACUCAGUGAAAUUGAAAUCGCUGUGAAGAUGCAGUGUAUCCGCGGCUAGACGGAAAGACCCCGUGAACCUUUACUGUAGCUUUGCACUGGACUUUGAGCCUGCUUGUGUAGGAUAGGUGGGAGGCUUUGAAGCGUGGACGCCAGUUCGCGUGGAGCCAUCCUUGAAAUACCACCCUGGCAUGCUUGAGGUUCUAACUCUGGUCCGUAAUCCGGAUCGAGGACAGUGUAUGGUGGGCAGUUUGACUGGGGCGGUCUCCUCCUAAAGAGUAACGGAGGAGUACGAAGGUGCGCUCAGACCGGUCGGAAAUCGGUCGCAGAGUAUAAAGGCAAAAGCGCGCUUGACUGCGAGACAGACACGUCGAGCAGGUACGAAAGUAGGUCUUAGUGAUCCGGUGGUUCUGUAUGGAAGGGCCAUCGCUCAACGGAUAAAAGGUACUCCGGGGAUAACAGGCUGAUACCGCCCAAGAGUUCAUAUCGACGGCGGUGUUUGGCACCUCGAUGUCGGCUCAUCACAUCCUGGGGCUGAAGCCGGUCCCAAGGGUAUGGCUGUUCGCCAUUUAAAGUGGUACGCGAGCUGGGUUUAGAACGUCGUGAGACAGUUCGGUCCCUAUCUGCCGUGGACGUUUGAGAUUUGAGAGGGGCUGCUCCUAGUACGAGAGGACCGGAGUGGACGAACCUCUGGUGUUCCGGUUGUCACGCCAGUGGCAUUGCCGGGUAGCUAUGUUCGGAAAAGAUAACCGCUGAAAGCAUCUAAGCGGGAAACUUGCCUCAAGAUGAGAUCUCACUGGGAGCUUGAUUCCCCUGAAGGGCCGUCGAAGACUACGACGUUGAUAGGCUGGGUGUGUAAGCGUUGUGAGGCGUUGAGCUAACCAGUACUAAUUGCCCGU